AAAAGGCCCUGAAAUGACAAACGUAAAACAAUUCAAACGAGAAAACUAACAGCCUAAUAUGUGUACAAAAAAUGAACGAAAAACAAAAAUGUUACACAGCAACAAACGACAACCAGUGAAUUACAGGCUCCUGACUUGGGACAGGCAUAUACAGAAUGUGGUGGGGUUAAACUAGUUAGAUGGCGCCAAAACCUCCUCCUCACCUGUGACAGUGUUGCAACAGCACAAAACAAGAACAUGCUAUACAAAACAAUAAACGAAAAACAAAUAUGAUAAAGAGCAACAAACAACAACCACUCAAUUACAGGCUCCCGACUUGGGACAGGCACAUACAGAAUGUAGCGGGUUUAAACGGGUAUGAAGGCGCCAAUCCUCCCAUAACCUGAGACAGUGGUGUAACAGUACAACAUAAG
rnacentral:lncRNA from 1 species